CCAACCCCACCACCCGGAAGUGGACUCCCACGGAGACAUCCAAUAUGCGGGCCAGGACGUCCACUCACCAGCUGAGUCACCAUUUCUGCCAGCCAAGUACCAGGGACUGAACCAGGGCCUUUCGCAUGCCAGUACUCAGACCUGAACACAUGGAUGCUCCACCACCGAGCUACAGUGGACCCUCAAGUUAUGACCAGCCUAACAUAUGAACAACUUGGGUUAAUUAGGGUGAUGGAAGAUUCAUCUGCCUCUUGUUACAUAUAGCAGGGUUAUUUGAGAAAUCCUGGGCCAAUGUCUCCCUAAGGACACUGAAUCUGCCUGUAUCCAGGAGAGAGCCUUCAUUUGUUUAACUUGAGUUACAAGCAGCCCUCAAGAACAAACUGAGUUUGUAAGUCAAGAGUCCACUGUACUGGUGAAAACUGAUUCCUUCUUAAUUUGUUUGGCUUUACAUACUGCAUAGCCUCUCCUUUUUAUUUCAUCAUAUUUUCAGUUAAACAUAUGGCUUUAAAUAUCCUAGUACUGGUUUAGCAACCUAUAUUGUAAUCCAGGCCACCAACUAGCUACACAUUCAGCCUUCUUACUACUUCCUCAAGUUCCAGAAUCCGUGGCACAACUAACAACUAGCAUAACCUAUUGGAACAAUCUGCUGACACUACAGACUCAGAAAUCACUAUAGUGUUGUUUAUAGCUUUAUAAAGGAUACAAACCAGGACCAGCCAAGUGAGAAGACUUAUAGAAUGAGGUCUUUGUGGGACCCAAACCUGAUGCUUUCAUAUCCCCAGGAGGCAUCAUCUUCUUGGAACAUUAAUGUAUGAUUACCAACUAGGGAUAUUUAUCCAAGUUUCGGGUGUCCAAAGUUUAUACUGGAGUUUCAUCAUGUAGGCAUAAUUGAUUGAAGCAUGGGCCACAUGAAUGAAUUCAACUUGUAUAACCCCACCUCCAGAUGUGGGGAAGUUGGGCAGAUAGCAUGGGGCUCAAAGCCCCAAACAUCUAGUUACAUGGUUUAUCUUUCCAAUAUGGUUAACACCCAUCCUAAAACUAUCUUCGGACCUACCACAAAGUCAACUUAUUAGCAUAAAUUCAAAUGUGGCCCAAGGAAUCCACCAUGAAUAGCAAAGACACUCCUGUCAUUCAGGAAAUUCCAAAGAUUUUGAGGCUCUCUCCAAGAAAGUAGGGACAAAAACCAAUCAAAUUAUUUAUUAAAUAACAUCUGUUAUAAAAUGAAUUGUGUCUCUUCCAAAAUUUAUAUGCCCUAAUCCCCAGCAUGAAAUGAAAUGUCCAACAUAUAGUAAGUAAUCAAUUAAUAAAUGACAGACAAGAAGAAAAUCCAGUGGUUGACUGGGUCCAGACGGAAGAGUUGAAGCCAAAAAAAGAGAGACAUGGUUUAUGUUUACAAUAGGGCAGCAUGAUGAUAAAUAUCACUUUCAACAAAGAAACAGGGCAGCUUGAGUC
ensembl:lncRNA